GGUUUAAAAUCUUAAUCCCUGAAUAAUGCCACCGCCUGCCUCCCAGCUUUCCUUGGAGACCUUCCAGCUCUGGCCAGCCCUGACCCUAUUUGACUUAAGCAGUUGUGCCUGCUGGGAAUGGAGUCUGCCUCACGCCAGUGCCACCAUUCCUGCGAGGCCAAGUCAUCGGCACGUGGAGCCCUCACUGCAAAUCCCCAUGCCUGUCCAUCUGUGAUGCUGGUCUUAAGACACAUUCAGAUGAUUUUGACCUCAAGACUAAGCCACGUUACACGUGUGAAAGGCCCAGCAUCUCUGCUCUGAUCCGCAGCACCGCUCCUGCAUACUGAGUAAGUAACUGCAGCCUACUGAUGUAAUAGCAUCCUGCAUAUGUCUCAUAUUAAUGGUAUUUUCCUAAUAGUAAUAGCAUUAAAAGCCUGUCUACUUUGCUAUUGACUUACCCUAUUUAGGAUAAUUUGCCCAGAAAGACUAUCCUUGAGCAUGUGAACAGCCAUAUCAUUUUAUAACACUUAACUUAAAAAUAUCAAAAUCAAAGCAAGCUGACAGUUUGAUUCCAGAACUAGUAUUUUUCCAUUAAAAAAAAAAAAUCUGUUGUGUUUCUUGAAUAAUUUAUUAUCUGGAUUUUUGUUGUAUUUUCCACAUGGAAUUGAUGAAGAAAAAAUACUUUUUUUUUUCUAAAGAAAGUUUGGACGAGCGAAAAUUCACACAUGGAAAACAAAUGAGCAUCGGGAAACACUCCUCAUAGCUAAUGGCUACUUGGUAUGUCGCCAGAAUUCAUACAGAUCCUUAAAAUCAAGUAAAUUAUGCCCGUAGUGAUAGCUCCCUUUCGCUGG
rnacentral:lncRNA from 1 species